UACGUAGGGGGCUAGCGUUGUCCGGAAUCAUUGGGCGUAAAGCGCGCGUAGGCGGUCAGGUAAGUCCGGUGUGAAAGUCAAAGGCUCAACCUUUGAAUGCCGCUGGAUACUGCCUGACUUGAGUCCGGAAGGGGCGAGUGGAAUUCCUGGUGUAGCGGUGAAAUGCGUAGAUAUCAAGAGGAACACCUGCGGCGAAGGCGGGUUGCUGGGCCGACACUGACGCUGAGGCGCGAAAGCUAGGGGAGCGAACGGG
rnacentral:rRNA from 1 species